rnacentral:rRNA from 1 species
UACGAAGGGGGCUAGCGUUGCUCGGAAUCACUGGGCGUAAAGGGCGCGUAGGCGGCGUUUUAAGUCGGGGGUGAAAGCCUGUGGCUCAACCACAGAAUGGCCUUCGAUACUGGGACGCUUGAGUAUGGUAGAGGUUGGUGGAACUGCGAGUGUAGAGGUGAAAUUCGUAGAUAUUGGGAAGAACACCGGUGGCGAAGGCGGCGACCUGGUCCGAUACUGACGCUGAGGCGCGAAAGCGUGGGGAGCAAACAGG